GACGAACGCUGGCGGCGUGCUUAACACAUGCAAGUCGAACGGAAAGGCCCUGCUUUUGUGGGGUGCUCGAGUGGCGAACGGGUGAGUAACACGUGAGUAACCUGCCCUUGACUUUGGGAUAACUUCAGGAAACUGGGGCUAAUACCGGAUAGGAGCUCCUGCUGCAUGGUGGGGGUUGGAAAGUUUCGGCGGUUGGGGAUGGACUCGCGGCUUAUCAGCUUGUUGGUGGGGUAGUGGCUUACCAAGGCUUUGACGGGUAGCCGGCCUGAGAGGGUGACCGGCCCCAUUGGGACUGGGGUGCGGCCCAGGCUCCUUCGGGGGGCAGCGGUGGAGACUAUUGCCCGCUGGGCGGAGGCCUGAUGCAGCAACGCCGCGUGCGGGAUGACGGCCUUCGGGUUGUAAACCGCUUUCGCCUGUGACGAGGCGUGAGUGACGGUAAUGGGUAAAGAAGCACCGGCUAACUACGU
rnacentral:rRNA from 1 species